UACGUAGGUGGCAAGCGUUGUCCGGAAUUAUUGGGCGUAAAGCGCGCGCAGGCGGUUCCUUAAGUCUGAUGUGAAAGCCCACGGCUCAACCGUGGAGGGUCAUUGGAAACUGGGGAACUUGAGUACAGAAGAGGAAAGCGGAAUUCCACGUGUAGCGGUGAAAUGCGUAGAGAUGUGGAGGAACACCAGUGGCGAAGGCGGCUUUCUGGUCUGUAACUGACGCUGAGGCGCGAAAGCGUGGGGAGCAAACAGG
rnacentral:rRNA from 1 species